rnacentral:snRNA from 1 species
AUGCUCACUAUGGCAGCCUACAUAGUAAAACUUGAGCAAUAGAGAAGACUGACAUAGCCACCACGCAAAAAUGGCAUGAAAAUUCAUGAAGUAUUUGUAUUUGUU